rnacentral:lncRNA from 1 species
AAAUGAAACAGAGAAUAUAUUUUCGUUAAUGGAGAAAAAAAAAAUGACUGGAAAAGAUUUUUGCUGCUUCUGCUAAAAGUGCUCCAAGAUGCCAGCAUUCAAUCAAGACAUGAAAUUUACUUUCUGAGUCAGAGACCUGUGAAAUUUGAAUCAAAUUCUUCAAAAGUGUCAUUCUGGGUAAAUAUUCAUGAAACACACCUGAAGAAACUAUCAUCACUCCUUCAGGAAUUUCAUCAAAAAGAGAAGGUGUUUUACUGCAGAAGUUUUCUUGUGAACAGAAGCUAUAUGAGAUGA